AUGUCAAGAGAUUGGAGGCAGCACUUCUAUGCAAUUUCUCAAGUCUCAACACAUCUUUUCAUGGCAUAUUUUGCUUCACAAGAGGAUAUGUUGUUCGUGUUUACUCGUCAGCCAUGGAUGUUGGGAUCGGACAACUUGCUACUUGAAUGGAAUCCUCAAGAUGAAAGUAACACCAAGGAAGAUUACAAGUUUGAGUACAUCUAUGUCACUAUUAGAGCCUAUGACAUACUUUGCACAGCGGGAAUUCCUUCAGAGUUUCAUCCACUUCAGAAUAACAUGUUGUUUGCGAGACCAGAUUAUAUAUGGGGUACAUCAAAGCUUAAGGUAACACAGUCAGUGGUUGAUAAGAUUAGUCUCACUUUGCCAGAUAAAUCAACCACUAUGGUUUACUUGCAUUAUGAAAAAAUUGGGAGGAUAUGCCUGUUUUGUGGCAGGAUGUUUCACACAAGUCAGCAUUGUGGAUUGAGGAACGAGUUGAUAAUGGAGCGAGCAAGAUGCAACGAAUCAGCUGCUGACAUUCCUUUUAGCAGAUAUGGUGAGUGGUUAUUACAUCCAGCUCAAAUUCCCCAACUCACUAUGCAGCCGAGAAGGGAUGGAACAUCAAUUCUAAGCAGGUUUCAGAGAAUGUUCAGUGAUGAUAAAGGAGAAGGAAAAAGUCUAGCCAGAGACAUCCAAAGCAGCCCUCGAUCAAGUCCAAAGCAUAGCAAUCAGACUCAAUGGGCAGAGAAAUAG
rnacentral:rRNA from 1 species